CAGAGCAUCUGGACUCUGUCAGAGCAUCUGAACUCUGCAGCAGGCUUUCCUGAAGUGGAGUUGGAGAUAGCAUCUCAGUAAAUCCUGUACCCACUACUUAUUGAGGACACACCCUGUUGACUGCUAAAAAUUUUCAUGGGACACAAUUCUGGGAAGUGAGACAUUAGGAGAAGUGAGCUGUCCUCUCCUGACAAGAGAUGUGGUUGGCAGGCUGUGAGGAGAGGAGGAGUUACAAGAGUAAAAAGGUCUCUCUCUAGAAGAGAAUUCACUAAAGAGUCUGGCACUGUUUUCCACCUGAUAAGAGACACUUACCAUCUAUUCUCUGAAGCUUGCUACCUGGAGGCUUCAUUUGCGUAAUAAAAACCUUGGUCUCCAGAACCCCUUAUCAUAAUCCAGACACUCUUUUGUAUUGAUUCCAGGACUUUAGAUAACUCUUUCAACCAGUUGCCAAUGAGAAAAUUUUUGAAUCCACCUAUGACCUGGAAGCACCUCCAUGGCCAACUUCGAGUUCUCCCGCCUUUCCAGACCAAAUCAAUGUAUACAUGUAUUGAUUGAUGUUUGCUUGUAACU